GAUGAACGCUGGCGGCGUGCCUAAUACAUGCAAGUCGAGCGAACGGACGAGAAGCUUGCUUCUCUGAUGUUAGCGGCGGACGGGUGAGUAACACGUGGAUAACCUACCUAUAAGACUGGGAUAACUUCGGGAAACCGUAGCUAAUACCGGAUAAUAUUUUGAACCGCAUGGUUCAAAAGUGAAAGACGGUCUUGCUGUCACUUAUAGAUGGAUCCGCGCUGCAUUAGCUAGUUGGUAAGGUAACGGCUUACCAAGGCAACGAUGCAUAGCCGACCUGAGAGGGUGAUCGGCCACACUGGAACUGAGACACGGUCCAGACUCCUACGGGAGGCAGCGGUAGGGAAUCUUCCGCAAUGGGCGAAAGCCUGACGGAGCAACGCCGCGUGAGUGAUGAAGGUCUUCGGAUCGUAAAACUCUGUUAUUAGGGAAGAACAUAUGUGUAAGUAACUGUGCACAUCUUGACGGUACCUAAUCAGAAAGCCACGGCUAACUACGUG
rnacentral:rRNA from 1 species